GCUAUUUAUGUCUGUACAAUUUCGAUGCCACUUAAUAUAUCAUCUUGUCUAUUCGUAAGUAAUUCCUGCAUCUUUCCACAUUUUCCGAUUCGGCAUAUGACGCCCGCAAAUACACUAUCAAUUAAUUCAGGAGAUUACCUAUGGCUACAACGACAGGCCGCGUAAAAUGGUUCGAUGAGAAAAAAGGCUUUGGCUUUAUUGAAAGACAGGACGGUAAUGACGUUUUCGUCCAUUUUAGAGCCAUAACAAGCCCCGGCUUCAAAACACUGGCUGAAGGUCAGGAAGUGGAAUUUGAAGUUGAGCAGGGCCAGAAAGGACCGCAGGCUGUUAACGUUACAGUUCUUUAACCC
rnacentral:sRNA from 1 species